GACGAACGCUGGCGGCGUGCUUAACACAUGCAAGUCGAACGAAGUGGCGAAAGGGUGAGUAACGCGUAAUCAACUUGCCCUUCAGAGGGGGACAACAGGUGGAAACGACUGCUAAUACCGCAUACUGAAGGAGGGGAUUGCGUCUGAUCAGCUUGUCGGAGGGGUAACCGCCUACCAAGGCGAUGAGCAGUAGCACGUCAGAGAAGAUGAACGGCCACAUUGGGACUGAGACACGGCCCAGACUCCUACGGGAUGCAGCAGUGGGGAAUCUUCCGACAUGGACGAAAGUCUGACGGAGCAACGCCGCGUGAGUGAUGACGGCCUUCAGGUUGUAAAGCUCUGUUAAUCGGGACGCGGUACCGGAAUAGAAAGCCACGGCUAACUACGUGCCAGCAGCCGCGGUAAUUC
rnacentral:rRNA from 1 species